AACAUAUCGCUGGUUCCAUAGGUUCAGUUAAACAUUUCGAGCAUCGCCUGGCCAAUAGUAACUCAAAGACUUUAUCCAAUUCAUACGGUAAAGAAACUAGUUCAUAAAUUCCAGGGUAAUAAGCGCGAGGAAAAUCGCAUAGAGGACCAGUCUCUGUAAAGAAAUUACACCAGUGCUUUAUAAGGCUCCAUUCUGUGGAAGAUGCCGUAAGACAAAGAUGAUUAGAUAAUUCAAUAACA